rnacentral:rRNA from 1 species
UACGAGGGGGGCAAGCGUUGUUCGGAAUUAUUGGGCGUAAAGGGCGCGUAGGCGGUGCGGUAAGUCACCUGUGAAACCUCUGGGCUUAACUCAGAGCCUGCAGGCGAAACUGCCGUGCUGGAGUAUGGGAGAGGUGCGUGGAAUUCCCGGUGUAGCGGUGAAAUGCGUAGAUAUCGGAAGGAACACCUGUGGCGAAAGCGGCUCACUGGACCAUAACUGACGCUGAUGCACGAAAGCUAGGGGAGCAAACAGG